rnacentral:lncRNA from 12 species
AACAAGUGCCUGGUUGGUUUGGGUGCAGCUGGUGACUUGAUAACCCUCAAAGUCCCGUCAUCACCGAAGGUUCAGGAAUCUGGAUGGAGAACUUGACCUUAAUGCAUUUGCUGAUUCGGGGUUUCUCAAGUGCGCCCACAGAUAAUCCAUUGUAGUUUUGGAGACGGGUGAGAAUUUGUUAAAAUACAGAUUCCUUGGCCCCCCCUUCAAUGUCUGGGUGGGGCGCCCAGGAACCUGCAUUUGAACAAUAAGCUCCCCAGUGAUUCUGCUGUGAUGCCAGAGCUCUGAGAACCAGAGUUUGAACACUGGCUCCACGGCGUGAAGAUGGGCCUCAGCUCCACGUGAAGCCUUCAGCCUUCUCCCCAGGCCGCCCCAAGCCUGGCACUCUGGGCUCUGCACUAAGCACGGACUUUCACAACCCUGCCCAGCCUCCCUCUCUCCAAGACCACGUGUCCCCGAGUCCUACCAGGAAAGAAACCCCUCUGCGAAAAAGAGCUCUUGGGAUAAGGAGCUUCCAGGUGGGAGCAGAAACGAGAAGGCCCAGGAACUGCCCAGCCAGCCCCACUUCCACGGUUUGUCCCCGCAGGUUGCAGAUGUAUCCCCAGCAGGAGAAUGCUGCAAACAGAGAGUGCUGGCAGGCCCAGAGAUGAGCCACGAGAACGCCACCAGGUUCCCGCUGAUGAUGAUCUAUGUCGUUGGAGCGCCUGGAAAAUGGAGGAGAUUACUUGGG